rnacentral:lncRNA from 1 species
ACGAAUGCUCCUUGCAAAUCCACAAUCCGCAAACCGAUCUGGAAAUCCACUUGCCGUUGUCUGCAAAUCGCGUCGUAUGCAAAUCACGUCACUGGAAAUUAAUCUAGAUCUAGAAAUCGAUCCCUAAUCAUGUCACUGGAAAUCGAUCCCAAAUCUGCAACACUCGUCGUCUGCAAAUCGCGUCGUCUGCAAAUCACGUCACUGGAAAUCAAUCUAGAUCUAGAAAUCGAUCCCUAAUCAUGUCACUGGAAAUCGAUCCCAAAUCUGCAACACUCGUCGUCUGCAAAUUGAUUUGGAUCUGCAAAUCCCAAAUCGCGUCUUCCGUCUUCGUAUUCUGUCAGAAAACGGAAAUCCCAAAACGAGCAGAAAUCGCUGCAAUAAAUCGAUCGAAAGAUAGACUUGCAAAAUCGCUGCAACAAAGUCGCAUCUUCCAUCUUCCGAGAAAUCGAUUUAACAGAAAUCGAUUGAAAGAUCUGGAAUCAAUCUUCCAUCUUCCAAAAAAAUCGCCGAAAACUGCCGGAGAAAAAAAUACACAUUUGUCGCCGGAAGUGAAACGAAUAUGGCGUUGAAGAAUGGAGGUGGCGUCGAUUUCACCUUCACAGAAGAGAACCGUCUGAUACCAUCUUAGAAUCUCAAUGCUCUGCAAAGAUGAAUCGCAUAUGGAAAAU